CCUGAAGGCACCCCCGAUAAGAUUAUGUUGGGAUUGAGCAGGACCAGAAGUGGACGGGACGACUAGCAUGGCAUCGACUCUGUCACUGACUCAAGCUCUUCUCUUCACCAAUGCGUCUAAUCUUCUACGCAGAAACUGCCUCAGAACCUUUGUCUUCUCUGCAUCUUUCUCCUCCUCCUCAGCUCUUUCCUCCGACAACGUUCACCGGAAGAAAUGGAGACAGCCGGUCUCUUCACUUCUUGAGCUCGGCGGAAUCGCAAUUGCCAAAGAUGAUGUUGUGAGGGAUGAUCCUACAAACAAUGUCCCAGAUAAUAUUUUCUCAAAACUUGGUAUGCAACUCCACCGAAGAGAUAACCAUCCACUUGGCAUUCUGAAGAAUGAGAUAUACAAAUAUUUUGAUAUCAAUUACUCAAAUAAGUUCAAUAAGUUUGAUGACCUCAGUCCAAUCGUUUCUGUGAAGGAGAAUUUUGAUGAUGUAUUGGUUCCAGAAGAUCAUGUAAGCCGAAGUUAUAAUGAUACAUACUACAUUGACUCGCAAACUGUUCUGAGAUGUCAUACAAGUGCUCAUCAAGCGGAGCUGUUGAGAAGAGGAUAUACUCAGUUUCUUGUGACAGGAGACGUUUACCGUCGGGAUUCCAUUGAUUCAACUCAUUACCCUGUAUUUCAUCAGAUGGAAGCUGUCCGUGUUUUUUCUCUAAAUGAUUGGGAGGCAUCUGGCACAGAUGGAACUUCUUAUGCUGCUGAUGACUUGAAGAAAUGCUUGGAAGGUUUGGCAAGGCAUUUAUUUGGUGCUGUGGAAAUGCGCUGGGUUGAUGCAUAUUUCCCAUUUACAAACCCAUCAUUCGAACUCGAGAUUUUCUUUCAGGAGAAAUGGCUGGAAGUAUUGGGAUGUGGGGUGAUGGAGCAAGAAAUAUUGCAAAAAUGUGGCAAAGAGAAUCAUGUUGCAUGGGCUUUUGGUCUUGGAUUGGAAAGGCUAGCCAUGGUUCUUUUUGAUAUACCUGAUGUCCGAUUAUUUUGGUCAGCCGAUGAGCGAUUUACCUCGCAGUUCUCAAAGGGCAAGCUAGGUGUUAAAUUUAAACCAUUUUCUAAGUUUCCACCUUGCUACAAGGAUAUUAGUUUUUGGAUCAAUGAUUCUUUCACCGAGAAUAAUUUGUGUGAAGUCGUGAGAGGAAUUGCCGGGGACCUUGUUGAAGAGGUGCAACUGAUAGACAGUUUUACCAACGAGAAGAAAGGGAUGACAAGUCACUGUUACAGGAUUGCUUACCGAUCUAUGGAACGGUCACUCACAGAUGAAGAAAUCAAUGAUUUGCAGAGGAACGUGAGAGAACAGGUUCAGAGCAGGUUGAAUGUUGUCUUAAGAUGAACAUAAAAAGUGCAACAAUUUCAGUCAAAGCCAUAUUUGCAAGGGAGACUUCAUUUGGUCUAAAAUAUGACAAAGGAAUAAGAAUUCAAACUUCUUGUGUGCUUUGAACCUCAAUUAGCAUCUCUCACAGAGGAGAAUUUUCUUGGCAGCCGAACAAAUAGAAGCUGAGGGAAGAUGGAGUCUGGAUCGAAGUUGUAGAAAAUAAGUCUGAUGCCAAAAUUGAUUCGAACUUCGAAGCCAUUAAUUUUCACAAAAAUCAGCUUCCACCAUUAGAAAAUCAUUCAACUUUGACAUGCUCAGAAUCUCUCUUUAUAACUGAUGGGCAAAGGAAGAAGGCAAACAGCAUUGGAAUAAGCUUUGUCUUUUUCUUCUUUUUCCAUAUGGAAUGAAAAUUCAAAUUUACAAUUCUUUGGAAAAGAGUGGAAAUGGUUUUAUCCUUGAGAUCACAAUUCUAUUAAUAAACAAUUUAAUUUUUAUCAGAAAUAGGUUUGCAAAAUAUAUCUAAACUUCGGGUAGAUUUCAAUUAUGCCCUUAAUUUAGUUUUGAAGAGUUUCAUUUGAG